AGUGAACGCUGGCGGUAGGCCUAACACAUGCAAGUCGAACGGCAGCACAGUAAGAGCUUGCUCUUACGGGUGGCGAGUGGCGGACGGGUGAGAAAUACAUCGGAAUCUACUUUUUCGUGGGGGAUAACGUAGGGAAACUUACGCUAAUACCGCAUACGACCUACGGGUGAAAGCAGUGGAUCUUCGCACCUUGCGCGUUUGAAUGAGCCGAUGUCGGAUUAGCUAGUUGGCGGGGUAAGGGCUCACCAAGGCGACGAUCCGUAGCUGGUCUGAGAGGAUGAUCAGCCACACUGGAACUGAGACACGGUCCAGACUCCUACGGGAGGCAGCAGUGGGGAAUAUUGGACAAUGGGCGCAAGCCUGAUCCAGCCAUACCGCGUGGGUGAAGAAGGCCUUCGGGUUGUAAAGCUCUGUUGUUGGGAAAGAAAAGCAGCAGGUGAAUACAUCGAUGUUCUGACGGUACCCAAAGAAUAAGCACCGGCUAACUUCGUG
rnacentral:rRNA from 1 species